rnacentral:rRNA from 1 species
UGCAAGUCGAACGGUAACAGGCCUUCGGGCGCUGACGAGUGGCGGACGGGUGAGUAACGCGUAGGAAUCUGCCUCAUAGUGGGGGACAACGUGGGGAAACUCACGCUAAUACCGCAUACGCCCUACGGGGGAAAGCGGGGGAUCUUCGGACCUCGCGCUAUGAGAUGAGCCUGCGUUAGAUUAGCUAGUUGGUAGGGUAAAGGCCUACCAAGGCGACGAUCUAUAGCUGGUCUGAGAGGACGAUCAGCCACACUGGGACUGAGACACGGCCCAGACUCCUACGGGAGGCAGCAGUGGGGAAUAUUGGACAAUGGGCGAAAGCCUGAUCCAGCAAUACCGCGUGUGUGAAGAAGGCCUUAGGGUUGUAAAGCACUUUCAAUUGGGAGGAAAACCUACCGGUCAAUACCCGGUAGCUUGACAUUACCUUUAGAAGAAGCACCGGCUAACUCCGUGCCAGCAGCCGCGGUAAUACGGAGGGUGCGAGCGUUAAUCGGAAUUACUGGGCGUAAAGCGUGCGUAGGCGGUUCGUUAAGUCAGAUGUGAAAGCCCUGGGCUCAACCUGGGAACUGCAUUUGAAACUGGCGGACUAGAGUUUAGUAGAGGGGAGUGGAAUUUCAGGUGUAGCGGUGAAGUGCGUAGAUAUCUGAAGGAAC